CAAAUACUUUAAGACUAUAUAAUAGACGCAUUAGUUAACCACAACAACAGUCUUCAUUUGAGGUUACAACGUCUGCUUUCAAAGUGUUAAACUUACAAUAACAAUAACAAUAAAAAUAAUUUUAAAUUUCUAAUUCCAAGCAAACAGGAAGGAAACAUUAUAAUAAUAAAACAAAAUGCCUUGCCCAUGUGGAACCGGUUGUCAAUGUGGCACUCAGCCAAAGAGCGGUAAUUGUGGCUGUGGCGCGGCUUGCAAGUGCUGUCCCUGCGGAAGUGGAUGCAAGUGCGGUUCACAAACUCAGAGUGGCAGCUGUGGUUGCGGCAGUGGCUGUAAAUGCGGACAAUAAAGAUCACACAGUAUUAAGUUUAUAAUAAUAAACCGCAAUAUUCUACAAUAAAAACUAAAUAUUUGAUUAUAAAAAUAAAAUUUAAUUUUAUCGAGUUAAA